rnacentral:rRNA from 1 species
GAUGAACGCUGGCGGCGUGCCUAAUACAUGCAAGUCGAGCGAACGGACGAGAAGCUUGCUUCUCUGAUGUUAGCGGCGGACGGGUGAGUAGCACGUGGAUAACCUACCUAUAAGACUGGGAUAACUUCGGGAAACCGGAGCUAAUACCGGAUAAUAUUUUGAACCGCAUGGUUCAAAAGUGAAAGACGGUCUUGCUGUCACUUAUAGAUGGAUCCGCGCUGCAUUAGCUAGUUGGUAAGGUAACGGCUUACCAAGGCAACGAUGCAUAGCCGACCUGAGAGGGUGAUCGGCCACACUGGAACUGAGACACGGUCCAGACUCCUACGGGAGGCAGCAGUAGGGAAUCUUCCGCAAUGGGCGAAAGCCUGACGGAGCAACGCCGCGUGAGUGAUGAAGGUCUUCGGAUCGUAAAACUCUGUUAUUAGGGAAGAACAUACGUGUAAGUAACUGUGCACAUCUUGACGGUACCUAAUCAGAAAGCCACGGCUAACUACGUG